GACGAACGCUGGCGGCGUGCUUAACACAUGCAAGUCGAGCGGAAAGGCCCUUUCGGGGGUACUCGAGCGGCGAACGGGUGAGUAACACGUGAGUAACCUGCCCUGGACUUUGGGAUAACCCUCGGAAACGGGGGCUAAUACCGGAUAUGACUACCGGCCGCAUGGUUGGUGGUGGAAAGUUUUUCGGUCUGGGAUGGGCUCGCGGCCUAUCAGCUUGUUGGUGGGGUGAUGGCCUACCAAGGCGACGACGGGUAGCCGGCCUGAGAGGGCGACCGGCCACACUGGGACUGAGACACGGCCCAGACUCCUACGGGAGGCAGCAGUGGGGAAUAUUGCACAAUGGGCGGAAGCCUGAUGCAGCGACGCCGCGUGAGGGAUGACGGCCUUCGGGUUGUAAACCUCUUUCAGCAGGGACGAAGCGUAAGUGACGGUACCUGCAGAAGAAGCGCCGGCCAACUACGUGCCAGCAGCCGCCGAGUAACAC
rnacentral:rRNA from 1 species